rnacentral:tRNA from 1 species
GGGGAUUUAGCUCAGUGGUAGAGCGCUUGCCUAGUAAGCACAAGGCGCUGGGUGCGGUCCCCA